rnacentral:rRNA from 1 species
AGGGAGUUGAAAGUCCGUACCGAGAUCCAACACUGGUGCCCCAAGCUGAGAAGGCUAAGGCGUUUCGGCAUAUGCUAGCUAAGGGAAUUCGGCAAAUUAGCCACGUAACUUCGGGAUAAGUGGUGCCUGCUUUGCAAAAAGCAGGUCGCAGUGACGAGGGGACUCUAACUGUCUAAUAACAACAUAGGUGAUUGCGAAUCCGUAAGGACUAGUACAAUCACUGAAUCCUGCCCAGUGCAGGUACCUGAAAACCCGGUUCAACGGGAGGAAGGGCCUGUCAACGGCGGGGGUAACUAUGACCCUCUUAAGGUAGCGUAGUACCUUGCCGCUUAAUUGGCGGCUUGCAUGAAUGGAUCAAUGAGAGUCCCACUGUCCCUAGCUGGUACCCGGUGAACCUUACAUUCCAGUGCAGAGUCUGGAGACCCCUAAUGGGAAGUGAAGACCCCGUGGAGCUUUACUGCAGCCUGCCGUUGGGCUGUGGUUCUGAUUGUAGAGCAUAGGUAGGAGACGUCGAAGCUCGGGCGCCAGUCCGAGUGGAGUCGCCCUUGGAAUACUACCCUUUCGGAGCCGCCGCCCUCACUCUGAGAAGAGGACCUCGGUAGGUGGGCAGUUUGGGUGGGGCGCCACGCCCUUGAAAAGAUAUCAAGGGCGCCCUAAGGUUGACUCAGUUGGGUCGGAAACCCAACAAAGAGUGUAAAGGCAUAAGUCAGCCUGAUGUUACCUCGCAUAGCAAGAGGUGAUAAGACGAAAGUCGGGCUUAGCGAACCUCUCAGCUCUCUUGGUGAGAGCGUUAGAUGACAGAAAAGCUACCCCGGGGAUAACAGAGUCGUCACCGGCAAGAGCACAUAUCGACCCGGUGGCUUGCUACCUCGAUGUCGGUUCUUUCCAUCCUGGCCGUGCAGCAGCGGCCAAGGGUGAGGUUGUUCGCCUAUUAAAGGAGAUCGUGAGCUGGGUUUAGACCGUCGUGAGACAGGUCGGUUACUAUCUGUUAGGGGUGUAUUGCGGUCUGAGGGCAGGUUGGUUUUAGUACGAGAGGAACAAACCAACGGCACCUCUGGUCUAUCGGUUGUCUGGCAAGGCAUGCCGAGCAGCUACGUGCUCGCGGAUAAGGGCUGAAAGCAUCUAAGCCCGAAACCGCCCCUGAAAAGAGACCGCUUAGAGUACUCGUAAAAGACGAGUUUGAUAGAGCUGGUGUGUACGCACCAAGGCAACGAGGUGUUCAGCUCGCAGCUACUAAUAACUCUGCAGCGCUC